rnacentral:rRNA from 1 species
AUUGAACGCUGGCGGCAUGCCUUACACAUGCCAGUCGAACGGCAGCACGGGUGCUUGCACCUGGUGGCGAGUGGCGAACGGGUGAGUAAUACAUCGGAACAUGUCCUGUAGUGGGGGAUAGCCCGGCGAAAGCCGGAUUAAUACCGCAUACGAUCUACGAAUGAAAGCGGGGGACCUUCGGGCCUCGCGCUAUAGGGUUGGCCGAUGGCUGAUUAGCUAGUUGGUGGGGUAAAGGCCUACCAAGGCGACGAUCAGUAGCUGGUCUGAGAGGACGACCAGCCACACUGGGACUGAGACACGGCCCAGACUCCUACGGGAGGCAGCAGUGGGGAAUUUUGGACAAUGGGCGAAAGCCUGAUCCAGCAAUGCCGCGUGUGUGAAGAAGGCCUUCGGGUUGUAAAGCACUUUUGUCCGGAAAGAAAUCCUUGGCCCUAAUACGGUCGGGGGAUGACGGUACCGGAAGAAUAAGCACCGGCUAACUACGUG